rnacentral:rRNA from 1 species
CUACGGGAGGCUGCAGUGGGGAAUAUUGCACAAUGGAGGAAACUCUGAUGCAGCAACGCCGCGUGGAGGAUGACACUUUUCGGAGCGUAAACUCCUUUUAUAUAGGAAGAAGAUGACGGUACUAUAUGAAUAAGCGCCGGCUAACUCCGUGCCAGCAGCCGCGGUAAUACGGAGGGCGCAAGCGUUACUCGGAAUCACUGGGCGUAAAGAGCGUGUAGGCGGAUUAAAAAGUCAGAAGUGAAAUCCUAUAGCUUAACUAUAGAACUGCUUCUGAAACUCUUAAUCUAGAAUAUGGGAGAGGUAGAUGGAAUUUCUGGUGUAGGGGUAAGAUCCGUAGAGAUCAGAAGGAAUACCGAUUGCGAAGGCGAUCUACUAGAACAUUAUUGACGCUGAGACGCGAAAGCGUGGGGGGCAAACAGGAUUAGAUACCCUUGUAGUC